CAAAGAAUAGUUUAAUAAAAAUAAUAAUUUUGGAGAUUAUUGAUAAGAAUGAAUUCUUUUCUUUUCUUUGA
rnacentral:tRNA from 1 species